UUGACCUCAAAUCAGGUAGGACUACCCGCUGAACUUAAGCAUAUCAAUAAGCGGAGGAAAAGAAACUAACAAGGAUUCCCCUAGUAACUGCGAGUGAAGCGGGAAAAGCUCAAAUUUAAAAUCUGGUAGUCUUUGGCUGCCCGAGUUGUAAUCUAGAGAAGUGUUAUCCGUGCUGGACCGUGUACAAGUCUCCUGGAAUGGAGCGUCAUAGAGGGUGAGAAUCCCGUCUUUGACACGGACUACCAGUGCAUUGUGAUGCGCUCUCAAAGAGUCGAGUUGUUUGGGAAUGCAGCUCUAAAUGGGUGGUAAAUUCCAUCUAAAGCUAAAUAUUGGCGAGAGACCGAUAGCGAACAAGUACCGUGAGGGAAAGAUGAAAAGAACUUUGGAAAGAGAGUUAAACAGUACGUGAAAUUGUUGAAAGGGAAACGCUUGAAGUCAGUCGCGUUGGCCAGGGAUCAACCUUGCUUUUGCUUGGCGUACUUCCUGGUUAACGGGUCAGCAUCAAUUUUGACCAGUGGAUAAAGGUCAAGGGAAUGUGGCAUCUUCGGAUGUGUUAUAGCCCUUGGUUGCAUACACUGAUUGGGAUUGAGGAACUCAGCACGCCGCAAGGCCGGGUUUUUAACCACGUUCG
rnacentral:rRNA from 1 species